rnacentral:rRNA from 1 species
UUGGAAAGAAGAAAAUUUUAGAGAGUACUGGAAUCUUUUUCCCCGAAAACAAUCCAGAAUGGCGGUUCUUCUUAUUUUCAGGUAAGUGUGUCUUUAAAACGAAGGUUCACGAAAAUCUUUCUUACUCUAGAAAUUUCAUCCUGUACACCGCCGUCUGAAGGAUCAAAACAGUCCUUGAUCCAAUUCCUAAAACCAGGAAUAAGUCAGGUAAGGUGCAGAUUAUGGGUAAGAAAAGAUGCACUUCACUAAAAUUAAACAAAAAAGAGAUUGAAACCAUCUCUCUGGAGAAGAAUUUGAUAGUAAAUUUUCUUGAUCAUAGAAACUUGAAUUAAUCCCAGAAGAAUGU